UGGCUGCGAAAAGAGUUUUAAUUUUUAAAGAGACCGACGCACAUUAAAGGUCUCAGGCGACAGGCACAACGGAGAGAGAAACUAUGUUUGAA
rnacentral:ncRNA from 1 species